GCCAGUCGUGGUGGCACAAACCUGUAAUCCCAGCUACUUGGGAGGCUGAGUCGUGAGAAUUGCUUGAACCUGGGAGGCGGAGGUUGCAGUGAGCCAAGAUCACGUGCACUCCAGCCUGGGGGACAGAGUGAGACUCUGUCUCAAAANNNNNNNNNNUUUUGAGACAGAGUCUCACUCUGUCCCCCAGGCUGGAGUGCACGUGAUCUUGGCUCACUGCAACCUCCGCCUCCCAGGUUCAAGCAAUUCUCACGACUCAG
rfam:Chlorocebus sabaeus isolate 1994-021 chromosome 20, whole genome shotgun sequence.